rnacentral:sRNA from 1 species
GUUGGGUGUGGUGGCACACACUUGUAAUCCAAGUGGCUUGGGAGGCUGAGGCAGGAGGAUCCCGAGUUCAAAGCCAGCCUCAGAAACGGCUAAGUGUUAAGCAACUCAGUGAGACCCUGUCUCUA